GUUCUAGAAUAAGCCCUGUUUGUUCUUUAUUUACUCCCUGUUCUUAGAAUUUCAUCUGUGAUUCUACAUUCAAAAGAUUCAUCUUCACUAUGGCAAAGCCUUCAGCUGCUGAAAAACAGCGUCGCUAUCGAGAAAAAAGAAAACUUGAUCGUGAUAGAGAAGCAGCUUACAAGGAGAAGCACAAAGUAAGAAAUGCAAAAAG